rnacentral:rRNA from 1 species
UACAAGUACCGUGAGGGAAAGUUGCAAAGCACUUUGAAGAGAGAGUUAAAGAGGACGUGAAACCGAUGAGAUGGAAACGGACAGAGCUGGCGUAUCUGGUCUGCAUUCAUCCGUGUGUUCUUGGGCGUUUGGAUUGCCAAUCUCCAGACUGGGACGGUGUUCAUUCUGCUCAGGGGCUCAUGGAGCAUUUGCAGGCGGAGUGCGCUGAGAUGCUCGGGACAGCUGCAUGAGCUUGGCUUUGAGGCCAGCCCUUCGGGGUCUGGUACCCGGGCUGUGGGAGGCUGUUUGUUCUGGGUGCUGAGUGUGUGCAAUGGCAACGGGUCCGUGUUGGUUUGAGCUGGUGGUUGGUGGCGGUCGCGUGCGACACGUGCCGGCAGUCAGUUCGGUCCUGCUCGGGCUCUCAUUGCAUGUUCUCGGUGUAAAAGCCGGUCAUCUGUCCGACCCGUCUUGAAACACGGACCAAGGAGUUUAGCGUGUGCGCGAGUCAUUGGGAGUUGAAAACCCAAGGGCGUAAUGAAAGUGAAGGUCUCCUUGCGGAGCUGAUGUGUGAUCUCGUGCACCCCGGUGUGCGGGCGCAACAUAGUCCCGUCCCGAUCGCAUGCGAUGGGGCGGAGACAGAGCGUACGCGCUGAGACCCGAAAGAUGGUGAACUAUUCCUGAGCAGGAUGAAGCCAGAGGAAACUCUGGUGGAAGUCCGAAGCGAUUCUGACGUGCAAAUCGAUCGUCUGACUUGGGUAUAGGGGCGAAAGACUAAUCGAACCAUCUAGUAGCUGGUUCCUUCCGA